rnacentral:rRNA from 1 species
GAUGAGCGCUGGCGGCGUGCUUAACACAUGCAAGUCGAACGGAAAGGCCAGUGCUUGCACUGGUGCUCGAGUGGCGAACGGGUGAGUAACACGUGGGUGAUCUGCCCUGCACUUUGGGAUAAGCCUGGGAAACUGGGUCUAAUACCAGAUAGGACCAUGCUUUGGAUGGUGUGGUGGAAAGUUUUUUCGGUGUGGGAUGAGCUUGCGGCCUAUCAGCUUGUUGGUGGGGUAAUGGCCUACCAAGGCGUCGACGGGUAGCCGGCCUGAGAGGGUGUACGGCCACAUUGGGACUGAGAUACGGCCCAGACUCCUACGGGAGGCAGCAGUGGGGAAUAUUGCACAAUGGGCGCAAGCCUGAUGCAGCGACGCCGCGUGGGGGAUGACGGCCUUCGGGUUGUAAACUCCUUUCGCAACUGACGAAGCUUUUUGUGACGGUAGGUUGAGAAGAAGCACCGGCUAACUACGUG